UACGGAGGAUCCAAGCGUUAUCCGGAUUUAUUGGGUUUAAAGGGUGCGUAGGCGGAUUGAUAAGUUAGAGGUGAAAUGUCCGAGCUCAACUCGGGAACUGCCUCUAAUACUGUUGAUCUAGAGAGUAGAUGCGGUAGGCGGAAUGUAUGGUGUAGUGGUGAAAUGCUUAGAGAUCAUACAGAACACCGAUUGCGAAGGCAGCUUACCAAUCUAUAUCUGACGUUGAGGCACGAAAGCGUGGGGAGCAAACAGG
rnacentral:rRNA from 1 species